rnacentral:rRNA from 1 species
GACGAACGCNGGCGGCGUGCCUAAUACAUGCAAGUCGAACGAGAGCGACCGGUGCUUGCACUGGUCAAUCUAGUGGCGAACGGGUGAGUAACACGUGGGUAACCUGCCCAUCAGAGGGGGAUAACAUCCGGAAACGGAUGCUAAAACCGCAUAGGUCUUCGAGCCGCAUGGCUUGAAGAGGAAAAGAGGCGCAAGCUUCUGCUGAUGGAUGGACCCGCGGUGCAUUAGCUAGUUGGUGAGGUAACGGCUCACCAAGGCCGUGAUGCAUAGCCGACCUGAGAGGGUGGUCGGCCACAUUGGGA